rnacentral:pre_miRNA from 11 species
CCAAUUUUUUCUGAACUCUCUCCCUCAUAAGACAAUACAUGACUUCUGGCUUUGUAGACCAUUUAGCUAGAAGGAUGAGUUGACUUAGAGGGUUGGGAGUUCGGAAAAUGUUGA